rnacentral:tRNA from 1 species
GCAGUGGUGGUUCAGUAGUAGAAUUCUUACCUUCCACGAGGGAGUCCUAGGUUUGAUUCCCAGUCAAUGUG